GGGGGAGGGGGGGGGGGGGGGUGGGGGGGGGGGGGGGAGGGGGGGGCGGGGAGGGGGUGGGUCUUAGGGGGGGGGGUGGGGGGGGGGGUGGGGAUAGAACGGGAACCGCCUUUUGGGGGGGGGUUACGGUGGGGAACCUUCGGUUAUUACGGCAAAGGACUUCCGGUUUAAGGAGGGGGAUUUUCGGACUUGUGCGGUUUGAAUGUGCGGAUGUCGGAUUAGCUAGUUGGUGGGGUAAAGGCCCACCAAGGCGACGAUCCGUAGCUGGUCUGAGAGGAUGAUCAGCCACACUGGAACUGAGACACGGUCCAGACUCCUACGGGAGGCAGCAGUGGGGAAUAUUGGACAAUGGGCGCAAGCCUGAUCCAGCCAUACCGCGUGGGUGAAGAAGGCCUUCGGGUUGUAAAGCCCUUUUGUUGGGAAAGAAAAGCAGCAGGUUAAUACCCCGCUGUUCUGACGGUACCCAAAGAAUAAGCACCGGCUAACUUCGUG
rnacentral:rRNA from 1 species